rnacentral:rRNA from 1 species
UUAAAUUGAAGAGUUUGAUCAUGGCUCAGAUUGAACGCUGGCGGCAGGCCUAACACAUGCAAGUCGAGCGGUAGCACAGAGAGCUUGCUCUCGGGUGACGAGCGGCGGACGGGUGAGUAAUGUCUGGGAAACUGCCUGAUGGAGGGGGAUAACUACUGGAAACGGUAGCUAAUACCGCAUAACGUCGCAAGACCAAAGUGGGGGACCUUCGGGCCUCAUGCCAUCAGAUGUGCCCAGAUGGGAUUAGCUAGUAGGUGGGGUAACGGCUCACCUAGGCGACGAUCCCUAGCUGGUCUGAGAGGAUGACCAGCCACACUGGAACUGAGACACGGUCCAGACUCCUACGGGAGGCAGCAGUGGGGAAUAUUGCACAAUGGGCGCAAGCCUGAUGCAGCCAUGCCGCGUGUGUGAAGAAGGCCUUCGGGUUGUAAAGCACUUUCAGCGGGGAGGAAGGCGUUAAGGUUAAUAACCUUGNCGAUUGACGUUACCCGCAGAAGAAGCACCGGCUAACUCCGUGCCAGCAGCCGCGGUAAUACGGAGGGUGCAAGCGUUAAUCGGAAUUACUGGGCGUAAAGCGCACGCAGGCGGUCUGUCAAGUCGGAUGUGAAAUCCCCGGGCUCAACCUGGGAACUGCAUUCGAAACUGGCAGGCUAGAGUCUUGUAGAGGGGGGUAGAAUUCCAGGUGUAGCGGUGAAAUGCGUAGAGAUCUGGAGGAAUACCGGUGGCGAAGGCGGCCCCCUGGACAAAGACUGACGCUCAGGUGCGAAAGCGUGGGGAGCAAACAGGAUUAGAUACCCUGGUAGUCCACGCCGUAAACGAUGUCGAUUUGGAGGUUGUGCCCUUGAGGCGUGGCUUCCGGAGCUAACGCGUUAAAUCGACCGCCUGGGGAGUACGGCCGCAAGGUUAAAACUCAAAUGAAUUGACGGGGGCCCGCACAAGCGGUGGAGCAUGUGGUUUAAUUCGAUGCAACGCGAAGAACCUUACCUGGUCUUGACAUCCACAGAACUUUCCAGAGAUGGAUUGGUGCCUUCGGGAACUGUGAGACAGGUGCUGCAUGGCUGUCGUCAGCUCGUGUUGUGAAAUGUUGGGUUAAGUCCCGCAACGAGCGCAACCCUUAUCCUUUGUUGCCAGCGGUCCGGCCGGGAACUCAAAGGAGACUGCCAGUGAUAAACUGGAGGAAGGUGGGGAUGACGUCAAGUCAUCAUGGCCCUUACGACCAGGGCUACACACGUGCUACAAUGGCAUAUACAAAGAGAAGCGACCUCGCGAGAGCAAGCGGACCUCAUAAAGUAUGUCGUAGUCCGGAUUGGAGUCUGCAACUCGACUCCAUGAAGUCGGAAUCGCUAGUAAUCGUAGAUCAGAAUGCUACGGUGAAUACGUUCCCGGGCCUUGUACACACCGCCCGUCACACCAUGGGAGUGGGUUGCAAAAGAAGUAGGUAGCUUAACCUUCGGGAGGGCGCUUACCACUUUGUGAUUCAUGACUGGGGUGAAGUCGUAACAAGGUAACCGUAGGGGAACCUGCGGUUGGAUCACCUCCUUA